AUAUAUGUGCCUCACAAAUGCAAAAUACAUUCAUCUCUUUCAAUGGCCCCAUAAAAUCUCAUCUAAACACAGUAUCAGACUGUGAAUCUAGUAUCUUAUCUUAUACUUCAAGUCAGGAUGCACUUCUCUAAAUCCAGAGCUUUAUUAACAAGUUUACCAAUAUCACACACACCCAACACAAGUAUUAGACUAAGGCAAUAUAAUUACAAGAUACGUGUCUAUUCAAAAAAGGGAGAGAGGAAAACCACACAGCAGUCAUUGUCUGCAUUAAUUCUGAAAUCUCACAGGGCAGAUGCUGCUAGGUCUUCUUACUGUGGGGCCAGGGACUGUUCCUUGAUUAGACCAAUUCUGCUAUUAGGGAGUGACUCAUCAGUCCGUUAUUCCCCACAGCCCUUUGCUGCACUCCCUAGAAGGUGCUUUGUUUUUCAUGUUUCUUGACUACUUUUAAAUAGGUCAUUAUUGCUGUCUGAGGGGUUUCCUCAGUCCAUUUCCUGCUAUAGAAAGUUGGCGCCCAUUUAGAAAUAGAGCAGAUGAGUUGCUGAAAGCUUAACCUGUUUCUCCAAGAUCACACAGGGUUAAGUGUGAUGCUUUUACAGUUUUUAAAAUGUUAAGUGAAAAAUGCUAUUGUUACCCAUUAUACAUAAUUAUAAUUCUAGGAAAUAAUCUCGUCUAGAGGGUGUUAAUUUUAACAUCAGAUUUUACCUUAACAAGUUUCACGGACGAAAGAGCAAAAUGAUGUUGCCUUGAGUAGUUGCAUUACCAUGGUAAUGAGCUUCUGCCAAUGAAGUAUAUUAUUCAAUAACAUUAUUGUUUCAUAUAUUGGUGUUCCCCUCACUUCAAGGGAUUGUCCUUUCAGUUUUAAUAGAGAAAAGUUGAGAACAACAUGGAACUGUAAUAGUGUCCCAUUUCUCAUUAACAUUUUUAUAUCCCUUUUCCUAUAUAAUUUGAAGAUUAUGGAAACCAAUGUCUUAUCUCUUUGGGAGGAUUAAAUGACAUAAAUUGUCCUUAAGUUUGUUACAGAAAGGUUGUCAUCAAUAUAUUUUAUAAUUGCUAUAAUAAUAAUACCUGUUGAUUUAAACUAAUAUAACCGAAUUGUUCCCCAAACCUCAGGCAAGAAAAUCCUUUGAGGAAAUAUGCAUGUAAAUGAGCUACUGCAACAGAGCAAUAAACAUCAAUAAGAUUAAGUAA
rnacentral:lncRNA from 10 species